AUGGCCUGGGCACGUCUCCUCAUCUUCUCUGCUUACUGCAAUGGGCUUUUGGCUCAGGUUGUCCUGAAUCAGCCAGCUUCUCUUUCAGCAUCCCUUAGAGAAACAGUCAGGGUCUCUUGUAGCAAAAGCAGUGGAAACAUUGGAGGUUUCUACACCUCCUGGUAUCAACAGCAGCCUGGCAGUGCCCCCAUACCCCUGAUAUACGAGGACAAUAAGAAACCCUCCAAAAUCUCAGCUGAGUUCUCUGGCUGUGUCAACAAUUCUCCCUAUUCUGCCCCCUUGAGCAUCUCCAAUCUUCACAGAGGGGAUGAAGCUGAUUAUUAUUGCCGACCGUAUGAUUCACUUAACAACCACAUGAUUCACUUAAGGACUGCUGCAAAGAAGAACCUCUGGAGCCUAGUGAUUGUAGGCAUUCAAGUGGAAGAUGAUGCUGAUUAUUAUUGCAGCAUAUGGGACUAUAAACUCAGUUUAUAG